rnacentral:rRNA from 1 species
GGAUGAACGUUGGCGGCGUGCCUAAUACAUGCAAGUCGAACGGGAAGGGGUCCUUCGGGGUUCUGGAGAGUGGCGCACGGGUGAGUAACACGUAACUGAUCUGCCCUGUAGACUGGGAUAACCUUUGGAAACAGAGGCUAAUACCGGAUGAGUUCGCGUUAGUUAGAGAUGCGCGAGGGAAUGUUUAGGCGCUACGGGAUGAGGUUGCGGGCCAUCAGCUGGUCGGUGGGGUAAAGGCUCACCGAGGCGAUGACGGCUAGGGGAUCUGAGAGGGUGGCCCCCCACACUGGGACUGAGACACGGCCCAGACUCCUACGGGAGGCAGCAGUAAGGGAUAUUGCGCAAUGGACGGAAGUCUGACGCAGCGACGCCGCGUGGGUGAAGAAGGUUUUCGGAUCGUAAAGCCCUUUUCCAGGUGACGAGAGAGGACGGUAGCCUGGGAAUAAGUGUCGGCUAACUACGUGCCAGCAGCCGCGGUAAAACGUAGGACACGAACGUUAUCC